CCUCUGAUCUCUGAUAAUAUGAUUUAUCUCUUGUGCCCUUAUCUAUUCACGAACUUUUACAUACAGCGUAUUACGUUUAAGGUCUUUAAAAACAUAAGAAAAGAGAAAAGUCGGUAAUAUUAUAUUUAUUUCAAUUUCAAUUAUAAAAACAGUAAGAUGAAUAUUGCGCCUCGAUACAAUGUUUUACGACAAGUUGCAAGGUUUCAAUAUCGUACUAAUAAAAUUGGCAUGAAUAAUGUCUCGCAGUAUUGUAAUAUCGAUGACAAUAUUUAUGGACUGAGUUAUGAACAGAAAGAGCUUCGUUCGCUCGUUUUCAAUUUUGCACAAAAAGAAUUGGCACCUAAAGCUGCUGAAAUCGAUAAACAAAAUAAUUUUGCUGAAUUAAGAACAUUUUGGAAAAAAUUGGGUAAAUUGGGUCUGUUGGGAAUCACAGUAAAGCCGGAAUAUGGAGGCACGGGCGGCACAUAUUUUGAUCAUUUAAUUAUUAUGGAAGAAUUAAGUAGAGCAUCAGCCUCUAUUGGACUUAGUUACGGCGCACAUUCGAAUCUUUGUGUUAACCAAAUUCACAGAAACGGUACGGAGGAACAGAAGCAUAAAUACUUGCCUAAGCUUUGCAGCGGCGAACACAUUGGCGCACUAGCAAUGUCAGAGCCGGGAUCUGGAUCUGAUGUUGUUUCCAUGAAGCUACGAGCUGAGAAGAAAAGAGAUUAUUACAUACUCAACGGCAACAAAUUCUGGAUCACUAAUGGUCCGAAUGCAGACACGUUAGUAGUUUACGCGAAGACUAAUCCGAACGCGAAGAAACCACAGCACGGUAUCACCACUUUCAUCAUCGAGCGCGAUAUGGAAGGCUUCAGCACAGCGCAAAAACUGGACAAGUUAGGUAUGCGCGGCUCCAAUACUUGCGAGCUGAUCUUCGAGAAUUGUAAAGUUCCAGCCGCAAACAUUUUGGGAGAGGUUAAUAAAGGAGUUUAUAUACUCUUCAGUGGAUUGGAUUUGGAACGGUUGAUAUUAUCCGGUGGACCUUUGGGCAUUCAGCAAGCCUGUUGCGAUAUUGCUUUUGAAUAUGCUCAUUCAAGAAAGCAAUUCAAUCAAUAUCUUGCAGAAUUUCAGCUCAUACAGGGGAAGAUUGCGGACAUGUACACGGCAUUGAAUGCAAGUAGAAGUUACGUAUAUCUUCUUGCAAGAGCCUACGACAAUGGUUACACAAAUUGUAAGGAUUGCGCAGCGGCAUUACUUUUUUCUAGUGAAAAGGCUGUAAAAACAGCGUUAGAUGCUUUACAGAUACUUGGCGGCAACGGAUAUAUCAAUGAUUAUUCAACGGGCAGGCUGCUGCGAGACGCAAAGCUGUACGAAAUCGGUGCAGGCACUUGUGAAAUACGACGUAUAGUCAUUAGCCGGGCGAUCACCAAAGAAUAUUUGUAAAAUAUGAGGAAAACCUUUACAUCUGUCUCUACAUUUCACAGUGGAUGUAAUUAGCUGGUGAUUCAUAACAUCGCUAUUGCCAAUGUCGCAUAUCGCAUAUUGGCUAUACGAUAAUGAUCACGUAUAAAUUAAGAUAAAGUGAGUCACUAGAGUGCGGCUGGAUCGAAAACUAACCGAGAUUGACUAACCUUUCACACUAUAGUGCAGCCAAACUAAUUGCAAUCGAAUCGGCUCGCGCAGAGAAGUUUCUCGCCGUCCAUGAACAUCACACGACGGAAGGAGCUCUGAAGAAGAACAUAGGUUCUUAUCAGGAAAUAGCAGAAAAAAGCGACAGGACAGAUAAACUUUUGCAUCGAGGAUGGCUCUCAAGUUUUCCAUAGGCCACUUUUACGAGACCUAUAUUUCAGAAUUAUAUACGUAGAUAUUUAAGAGAAAAAAGAGAAAAACGUACAAGGUCACAUUCUUAUGUUCAACUAAAUAAUCUAAUAAUUUAUCUCAUGUAAUAUAUAUAAUAACUUAAUCAAUGAAAAGUAGAAAAAAUCUGAUAUUGAGAGGAGAGAUAAAGUAAGUUUUAUUUGUCGAAGAAUCUGUCAUGGAUGUUGUUUUCUGUACAUACAUGUGUGUGUGUCUGCUCCACUUACAGAUUACUUAUGAAAUAUAUGUGUCGAAAUAUAUUUAAAACUGUGU